UACGUAGGGGGCAAGCGUUGUCCGGAAUCAUUGGGCGUAAAGAGCGUGUAGGCGGCCAGAUAAGUCCGCUGUGAAAUCUCGAGGCUCAACUUCGAGCUGUCGGUGGAAACUGUCUGGCUAGAGUCCGGAAGAGGAGAAUGGAAUUCCUGGUGUAGCGGUGAAAUGCGCAGAUAUCAGGAAGAACACCCGUGGCGAGGGCGGCUCUCUGGGACGGUACUGACGCUGAGACGCGAAAGCGUGGGGAGCGAACAGG
rnacentral:rRNA from 1 species